AGGCUUAUAAUUUGCUUCAGAAAGUUCUCCACCAACCUUGGUAUCAACUUCUCUCGCACUGACACUUAACUCUUGAGAUUCCUGAAGUUUUACCCCUUUAUCUGCAGUAGCAUGUUGAUUAUCAGAAAAAGAUCUUCCAGAAGGUAUAAAAUGCUCAGUCUGGGGAGCCACAUUCCCAUAUCUUCCAGAAGGUACAAAAUGCUCAGUCUGGGGAGCCACAUUCCCAUCGUUCAAUUUAUUAACGGAUUCUAUGAUCUGUUGUGAGCCUUCAGAAUAUGCAUGGGCCAUUAUGAAUUGCGAGGCAGCAGAAUCAUCAGAUUUGGAUAAACGAUUAAGGCCGGGCUGUUCCCUGGGUAUCCAUUCAGAGCGAAAAGUUCGUGGAGGAAUCGAUGGUUGUUCGUAGCUAAUGUCAUGUAG
rnacentral:lncRNA from 1 species